rfam:Anopheles culicifacies strain species A-37_1 cont1.12372, whole genome shotgun sequence.
AACAAGCUUCGCUCUGCUAACGGGGUACGAUCCGAAGCUCCUUUUGGGGGCCCUAUAGGCUCUCCUACUCAACUCCUAUUCCGUCACGUCCCCGUCGUGCAGAGUGGUAACUUGCCCCACCGCAUAUCCAAGCUUGGGUACACGGGUUACUCCCAACCCCUCGAGCGGAUGGUGGAGCAUGGCUAAACUGGAGGGG